rnacentral:rRNA from 1 species
GACGAACGCUGGCGGCGUGCUUAACACAUGCAAGUCGAACGGAAAGGCCUCUUUCGGGGGGUACUCGAGUGGCGAACGGGUGAGUAACACGUGAGUAACCUGCCCUUGACUUUGGGAUAACUUCAGGAAACUGGGGCUAAUACCGGAUAGGAGCUCCUGCUGCAUGGUGGGGGUUGGAAAGUUUCGGCGGUUGGGGAUGGACUCGCGGCUUAUCAGCUUGUUGGUGGGGUAGUGGCUUACCAAGGCUUUGACGGGUAGCCGGCCUGAGAGGGUGACCGGCCACAUUGGGACUGAGAGACGGCCCAGACUCCUACGGGAGGCAGCAGUGGGGAAUAUUGCACAAUGGGUGGAAGCCUGAGGCAGCAACGCCGUGUGCGGGAUGACGGCCUUCGGGUUGUAAACCGCUUUCGCUCAUGACGAAGCUUUGUGUGACGGUAGUGGGUAAAGAAGCACCGGCUAACUACGUGC